CGCUGAAGAAGUACCUGCUCCUCUUGGAAGAGUUGCGAACGGGUGAGUAACGCGUAGGUAACCUGCCUUGUAGCGGGGGAUAACUAUUGGAAACGAUAGCUAAUACCGCAUAACAAUGGAUGACACAUGUCAUUUAUUUGAAAGGGGCAAUUGUUCCACUACAAGAUGGACCUGCGUUGUAUUAGCUAGUAGGUGAGGUAAUGGCUCACCUAGGCGACGAUACAUAGCCGACCUGAGAGGGUGAUCGGCCACACUGGGACUGAGACACGGCCCAGACUCCUACGGGAGGCAGCAGUAGGGAAUCUUCGGCAAUGGGGGCAACCCUGACCGAGCAACGCCGCGUGAGUGAAGAAGGUUUUCGGAUCGUAAAGCUCUGUUGUAAGUCAAGAACGGGUGUGAGAGUGGAAAGUUCACACUGUGACGGUAGCUUACCAGAAAGGGACGGCUAACUACGUGCCAGCAGCCGCGGUAAUACGUAGGUCCCGAGCGUUGUCCGGAUUUAUUGGGCGUAAAGCGAGCGCAGGCGGUUUGAUAAGUCUGAAGUUAAAGGCUGUGGCUCAACCAUAGUUCGCUUUGGAAACUGUCAAACUUGAGUGCAGAAGGGGAGAGUGGAAUUCCAUGUGUAGCGGUGAAAUGCGUAGAUAUAUGGAGGAACACCGGUGGCGAAAGCGGCUCUCUGGUCUGUAACUGACGCUGAGGCUCGAAAGCGUGGGGAGCGAACAGGAUUAGAUACCCUGGUAGUCCACGCCGUAAACGAUGAGUGCUAGGUGUUGGAUCCUUUCCGGGAUUCAGUGCCGCAGCUAACGCAUUAAGCACUCCGCCUGGGGAGUACGACCGCAAGGUUGAAACUCAAAGGAAUUGACGGGGGCCCGCACAAGCGGUGGAGCAUGUGGUUUAAUUCGAAGCAACGCGAAGAACCUUACCAGGUCUUGACAUCCCGAUGCUAUUUCUAGAGAUAGAAAGUUACUUCGGUACAUCGGUGACAGGUGGUGCAUGGUUGUCGUCAGCUCGUGUCGUGAGAUGUUGGGUUAAGUCCCGCAACGAGCGCAACCCCUAUUGUUAGUUGCCAUCAUUCAGUUGGGCACUCUAGCGAGACUGCCGGUAAUAAACCGGAGGAAGGUGGGGAUGACGUCAAAUCAUCAUGCCCCUUAUGACCUGGGCUACACACGUGCUACAAUGGUUGGUACAACGAGUUGCGAGUCGGUGACGGCGAGCUAAUCUCUUAAAGCCAAUCUCAGUUCGGAUUGUAGGCUGCAACUCGCCUACAUGAAGUCGGAAUCGCUAGUAAUCGCGGAUCAGCACGCCGCGGUGAAUACGUUCCCGGGCCUUGUACACACCGCCCGUCACACCACGAGAGUUUGUAACACCCGAAGUCGGUGAGGUAACCUUUGGAGCCAGCC
rnacentral:rRNA from 1 species